rnacentral:lncRNA from 1 species
UUGGCAGGAAAACAAUUCAUGCUGACUACAGGCCUGUGGCACAAAUGAUAAAAUGUGAACGAAGCCCAGCGUUGUGACUUGAUGAAGCUUUAACAGUGUACAGUGUUUCUGAGUGUUUCCUGUUCUCAGCACUUUAACAGAUGCCAUUCCAGGUUCAACUGGGUUUGUCUGUCCUAAAUUAUAAACAGUUAACUUGAAUCUUUUAUACGUCGUGCAUUGGUUCUAACAAAAAUGGUAAUCCCUCAACAGAACUCAUUUUACUAAUCAGUACUGUGUUCUUUAAAACACAGCAUUUACACUGAAUACAAUUUCAUUUGUAAAAUGUAAAUAAGAGCUUUUGUACUAGCCCGAUAUUUAUUUACAUCGCUUUGUACUAUAAACUGUUCUAGAGCUGCAGCGGUUCACAGAGUAUUUUCAUAUGUGUUGCUCAUCCGUGUUUCAUCUGUCGUCGCCUGACUGAUCGCUACGUUUGAUUCCAGAGGCUGCUCGGUUGCUAAUAGAGAGUUAGUGGGGAAACAUUGACUUAACAAAUUUAAUUUACUGAUGGAAGCAUUUCUCUAUUAAUAGAAAUCUUUCUAAUUUAAGAAUUUUAUGAAUACUCUUGGAAUUUAAUUGGUGAUGCCUUUGUGUCUAGAAGGCACACAUCCCAGAGAGCUCUGGUGUGACGUGAUGGGGACUUGUGGCUAGAGAAGAUCUUCAAUGGCCUUAAGCUCUGGGUCUUGCUCUAGAGAGGUCUCUGAUGUCCUCGACCUCAGAGCAGAACUCUCUUCAAGUUUUGAAGAUGCUAAGCCCCAGCUUCUGAACUCUUAGUGCUCUGAUCGUGAACUGUAAGUGGACACGGGGAAGGCAAUGGUGGAUAAUUUCCCAAUCAGGUCUAAUUACCUUAAAUCUAAAACGGAGGAAUAACAAGUGGAAAUGGAUAGGUUUUUUAAAUUUAAGUUUUUCUUGAUCUUAUGGAUAUAUUAUAGCCAGUGUAUUUAUCAUGAGUAAAUACAACCUAAAACCAUAGGUGUGAGUGUCUGUGUCUGUGGCAGCCUCUGGAAUGGGCAAGCCUAGUGCUUCCUACUUCUGUCAAGGCAUUCUGCCCAGUUGGAAAAACACUGUCACAGGCUCAAGUUCAGUAUGGCAGCUGUGGAAGAAAUUACUUUCCAUGAAAGGCUAUUUUUACUAUUCUCUAAUGUAAGCCUUACACUUAGCAUCUUGCAUUGCACAGAGACCUGCCGUACUGCAUGGCGGUACACUCAGAAAUCAAGGAGAGAUUUUUAUCCACCUAAGUUUUUGUAAAUGAGGAUGUCCUCUUCACUCUCUGUACACUUUCUCUUUGUUUUACAUUUUAUUUGGUCUCUUAAUUACCUACCUGGUCCUUUAUAGAAUCUUGUACAUAGAGUUGCUUGAAAGUUAAGUUUCCCAUCCUGUGAGUUAAGAGAAAUGUAUGUCUGGAGUUGUUCCUAAGAUGUGAAUUGUGGUCAAGGGUUAAGAGGUCAAAUCCUGACCUAGAAAUGCUUUUAUACAGCUCUCUGCUAACUACAAAUAUCCUAAAAUCAUUUCUUGAACAUAAAAGGAGUAUGCCAAAUUUUAUAUAAAUUUUUCAGGUUCUGUAAGCUUCUGGGUUUUAUAGUUAAAAGAUAAUGAAGUUAAUUAGUGGGGUUUAUAUUUACGUACUUUUCAAAGUUUGGCCUAUGUUACUCUGUGUGGAUCUGGAAUUGUUUUUCAUGUAGAAUCAUGGUCUGGUUAUGACCCGUGUUACCUCCUAACCCAUUGCUUAUGUGUGUUCCCAUUGUGGUCAAUACGCUGGCAUGGCAAUGUUUAUUGGGAGCUGGGAGUUUGGGGGUGUGGUUUAGUGCUUUGCAUGAAAUACCUUUAUAAUAAUGGAAUUGCUUUUUCUUUUGCCUUGUGAUUUUUUUUUGAGGUGAAAUUUAAUUUGUGUAUGUGUGUGUGUGUAGUGUUCUGCCCAUCUGAGUGUCUACUUGUAUCACAUUCCAUGCCUCACUUAAUUCUUAAUAAACUGUUUACUUGUU